rnacentral:rRNA from 1 species
UGGGGAAUAUUGGACAAUGGGCGAAAGCCUGAUCCAGCCAUGCCGCGUGUGUGAAGAAGGCCUUUUGGUUGUAAAGCACUUUAAGUGGGGAGGAAAAGCUUAUGGUUAAUACCCAUAAGCCCUGACGUUACCCACAGAAUAAGCACCGGCUAACUCUGUGCCAGCAGCCGCGGUAAUACAGAGGGUGCAAGCGUUAAUCGGAAUUACUGGGCGUAAAGCGCGCGUAGGUGGUUAUUUAAGUCAGAUGUGAAAGCCCCGGGCUUAACCUGGGAACUGCAUCUGAUACUGGAUAACUAGAGUAGGUGAGAGGGGAGUAGAAUUCCAGGUGUAGCGGUGAAAUGCGUAGAGAUCUGGAGGAAUACCGAUGGCGAAGGCAGCUCCCUGGCAUCAUACUGACACUGAGGUGCGAAAGCGUGGGUAGCAAACAGGAUUAGAUACCCUGGUGGUCCACGCCGUAAACGAUGUCUACCAGUCGUUGGGUCUUUUAAAGACUUAGUGACGCAGUUAACGCAAUAAGUAGACCGCCUGGGGAGUACGGCCGCAAGGUUA